UACGUAGGGGGCAAGCGUUGUCCGGAAUCAUUGGGCGUAAAGCGCGUGUAGGCGGCUCGGCAAGUCUGGUGUGAAAACUGGAGGCUCAACCUCCAGCUGUCGCUGGAUACUGCCGGGCUUGAGUCCGGAAGAGGAGAGUGGAAUUCCUGGUGUAGCGGUGGAAUGCGCAGAUAUCAGGAGGAACACCAAUGGCGAAGGCAGCUCUCUGGUACGUGACUGACGCUGAGACGCGAAAGCGUGGGGAGCAAACAGG
rnacentral:rRNA from 1 species